UAUGGAUCUGUGAUGUUAUAAUUAAACUGCGUUAUCUAUCUGAUACUUCCUCAGGGAAUUGAAGAUAACUAUAAUUUGCUGAGAUCUGUU
rnacentral:snoRNA from 1 species